rnacentral:rRNA from 1 species
GACGAACGCUGGCGGCGUGCUUAACACAUGCAAGUCGAGCGGUAAGGCCCUUUCGGGGGUACACGAGCGGCGAACGGGUGAGUAACACGUGGGUGACCUGCCCUCAGCUCUGGGAUAAGCCUGGGAAACCGGGUCUAAUACCGGAUAUGACUCCAUGACGCAUGUUGUGGGGUGGAAAGCCUUGUGCGGCUGAGGAUGGGCCCGCGGCCUAUCAGCUUGUUGGUGGGGNGAUGGCCUACCAAGGCGACGACGGGUAGCCGGCCUGAGAGGGCGACCGGCCACACUGGGACUGAGACACGGCCCCGACUCCUACGGGAGGCAGCAGUGGGGAAUUUUCCGCAAUGGGCGAAAGCCUGACGGAGUGACGCCGCGUGUGGGACGAAGGCC